AAACGCCAGAGUGCUGCGUCGACUGCUCCGCCACCAUUUUAUACUUUACGAGAUCGCCAGAAUGUUGUACUAACGUUUGCAACUUUGCGUGCCUGCAACGUUUGAAAUUUCCAAAAAGCACGAGAUUGAUUUUUGCCACGCGGAUAAAGCCUUUUUUCGAAGAGAAACAAAAAUGAUAGCCGACCGCCUACCGAUAUAACAUAUUAAUAGAAUUAGCAGUAAAUUCUCCCUUAUCGGUCUUUGGAGUAAAACAGGAAAAACGAAGAACAGGGAUAAUAAGGUACCGCGCAUUUUUCAUUUUCCGUCAUUUCCUGCCUUGCGGAGUAAAUUGCAAUCGAGUAAUUGGACACUGAGCACGCGAUAAUGCCGAAUGAAGUCGGUAAUCGCUGUGCAAAUUCUUUCACUCGCUGUCGGUCCGUUGUGCGAAAUCAAAUUCUUCAUCGAAUCGAAUUUUUCCGAUACGUUGAUCGCAACGAGACAAAUUUAAAAAUAUUGGUCCGCUAAAGGUAUUACGAGAUUUCAAGGUCGUUAACAUUUUUUAAAUACGAAUACACAUCUACUUUAUUUAGGAAAUUAUCUAAAGUAAUCCGAGUUAUCUCCGAUAGAUUUUCGAAUACGAUCAAUGAACGAACGCGUCACGCUUCCGUGUGUCUUCCGAUAUCGUGGUGAUAUCACAAUAAACUUGACCACGAGUCAUUUGGAAAACUCGCAAAGAUAACAAUAUUUUGUAGAACUCCUUGAAACUAAACAGAUGUUACAUAGAAUUAUCUCUCGCUUAAAAAUAAGAUCUCCAGAAGAAUGUCUUUUCUUAUAUCCGUUGAUAUGAGAGAUAUUUAGGUGACCUAAUUUACUUAGUUCACUCCGCGCAAGUGUGAUCUCCAAAUAAAUUUCGUUUCGCAAUGGAAAGUGUAGUACGCGAGUGUGGUACAGGGAAGAGAAAUAAGUUGAGAAUAGAGUCAUCCCACAUUCAGCAUCAUCCCUCUGGUAUCGCGACGGUUAGAAAUGUUUGCGGUCGUUUGAAACGUUACACGUAAAUAUUUAUAAUUCGUAAUCGCAAACAUGUACACGAUAAACGAUAGCGGGCGCGUAUUUUUGACGAGGCCCGCGCACCGGAAAUUAUCUUUCAGUUUACGAAGCGUAAUCUACUCGAUUUUCAACUCUAUCUACGAUCAACCGUUCGAAGCGACGCGGACGAUCCGAUGCGUCAGACUAUUGUUACCACAACAGUGAGCGUGUUUGUUUUGGAAGCAUAAAGAAGCACGGCUGUAAGAACAUUCGAUCUGUGUUAUUGUUUAGCAGAGUAGAAGCGAUUAACGGAAGCGAAACGCCGUCGUUGCUAUGUUCAAUGCGUCGAUCGAUGGUUGUUGGAUAGAAAUAGAUGUCGAAGAAAAAUAGUCGUCAAGGUCGUCGAUACGAGGCAGUCUUUUUUCACGGCUUUCGCCUAAACUAGCCCGAAGAUGAAUCGCGGUGUACACCGAGCGAAAAGAAAGGCCCUCGAUCGCGCGACGAAGAAAAAAGACUUUGUUGGCAUUGUUGGGCGACGUUUGCACGGUCGAAUAUCGUACGAAACGAGUCGCGGCCGGCACCGUGAUCAGAAUUUUUAUGGAAUAGGCGGUGGCGAAUUCACGAAUGCGCGCGCGUUUCGCUUCCUGUUCAAGAUUUACGGUCGUCACAGAUGCACACUUCCGCCCACAUUCAAUGAAAGUUUCCGAGACAUUUGCACGCCAUUCGAUCGGGCUAACCCUAGCUUUCGUACCCAAUAACGAAUGCGGUUUCCUGUUGCUCGUUCCUUUGAUAAUGCGUCUCUCUCCGCAAAAUUAAGCAGACGCGUGUACGCGAUUAGAGCCAUUCGAACGGGAAACGGUUAAAACAUUCUACGCGGUUAAAUCGAGAAACAUAUUACAAGCACGAUUCCAUUAUUUCUUCGAUAAUUGCUUCUUCGUAGAAUUGUAUUCGAUAUUCGAGGCCGAUCGAGGAUCCUUGAUCGGCCAUCGGAAUCUGUGUCCGUUAAUUAUUGACAGUUCGCGCGUAUCGUUCGCUCGAUAUCGUAAUAAGGACGAUUAGGGCUCCUCCGGGUUAAGCAACAGCGCGAUAACGAGAUCGUUGAUAUUCAAUGACGACGUGCUGCAGGUGGCUAACUUAAUUCUUCCCCGUUAAUGACGGUUUCGUCCGUGAAACAAUGCCUGGCAUUGCGAGAUCGCGACAAUGUAACUGUUACGAUAAUGAAAACAACCGGCGCUAAUGACGCGGGAGACGGACGCGAUGCCAUGGGAAACCUUAAAAAAAAAAGGUCUGAAUUUCGUUCAAAUCGGAUCAACUGGAUUUUAACCGUGCACGAUUUAUAUUUUCCGACGAAUCGAAACCCUUCCCGUGCGAAACCUUGCACUUUAACCUUCGACGCCUUGUCAGCCGUAGCGUCUCUGUAAAUACACAAAUAUCUCUGUCGCGAAUGCACAGGAACCAUCCUCGCCCCUUCAGGGGUCGAGGAGUUUGAUCGCCGACUAGUGUAAACAUGAUCUGGGAUCGGAUUACUCGGCGAGACAAUUUAAUCCAGCGGUGAAACUUUUCUUUAUUAUUAACUCUUUUGUUAUAAAACUUUUACCAUCGUAUUUCUGAGAUUUUUCCGAUUAAAACGAGACGAAACACGACAUAAUUCGCGAUACACUUAUUGGUAACAAUUUAUUAUGUAUCAUAUAUUGUAGAACACUAAGAAAAGAGGAAUGGUACGUAUCGUCCGAAUUAUAUCGCGUUUGGUCUUCUUUUAAUUAGAAAAAUGUCAGGGAUACGACGGUAAAUGUUUUACAAUGAAAAAGUUAAUAGUAACAAAGUUUCAUCGUUGCGUCACAUUGUUUCACGGACGUGUCUCGUUGUUUUCGCUCCGUCCUCUUCUUAACUCGCUGUCCUUGUCUACGUUCGAAGCUCGUCGGCAAAUAUCAGAGAAUAUACGAUCGCGUAAACAUUUGCUCGGCGAUCGAACUCCUGGACCCCUCGAGAGAGGUUACACCCCCGAGUGGAAAAAUCAGCGUUGGAAAAAUCAGCGUUGGAAAAAUCCACGGUGAAGGAUAACGCGAAAGAGAGAGAAGCCAACAGAUUUGGAAGUUUGUAAAACGAAGAGUCUCGAGUACCGCUUCCGUACGAUGUAGAGAUGGUAUCCCUGGUUCGGGAGGUAUAUCUCCCGUCUUUUCUUGAGAUUCGUAGACGGUAAACCCUACGUCCAGGUCCAUUGUUGAAUUUCUGUCCGUGCCACCGGACGUACCAUUGGAACCAAAGAUAUUUAGAACCCUCCAGAAAUGGUUCGCGUGGUCGACAAUGGCGGGGGUAAUCUUUGCUGGCUAACGAAAACAAUCGUUCCGAGCGUUAGCGGAUUAUUCGUGAGCCUGAAGCCGAAACGCCGCACCGGUUAAUCCCCGAGGCCGGGGACACGGCCAGCAAGACGUUUAAAAAAGGAAGAGGAGUCGCGAAAAGCAAGGUUAAGAACAACCGCAACAGGAAAGGAGAAGAGGAACGUAGGAUGUAGGAUGAAGAAACGUAACGAGAGAUGAAAAGUAGCCGGAGCAGGGAACGGGGUAAGAGAGAAGGGAUUCACCUCGCGUCUGAGAACGACCCUUGGCGGAAAUGCAAUUUUGGUUCUUGUCUGGAGACGACGUCGCUACCUACCGCGGCUCAUCUCCGAGGCGUGACCCCUUUAAGAUCGUUCAAGACGCGGCCUCUCGUGCAGACAGACGUUCCUCUCUCCGGCAUGUUCCACGAGAUGAAAGGCUCCCGUUGCUAUCAAAGGGAAAGGGAAGAGAUGCAAAGGCCCCACCAGACAAUGGCCGUGAGCUGCAAGGUUUUCAGCCUCCGAUGUCUCUACGGCUCCAGAGGUUCGGUCUCGUCAUUUCAACUGGACCCGCCGACCAAUUUUCGCGUCUUUUACGGAUUAGAAUUAGACCAUUGUUGUUAUUAUAAUGGCCCCAGACUAUAGACGAUUCAGACUAUACGACACGGACCGUCACGUUCCGGCAACGACACGUACCGGCACGACGAAACAUUAAAACACGCGUUUUAAUGGAACUAUUCACACUAUUCCUGUUGACGGAACCUUCAGGUCGGUGUCUGUUAAGUGCGAAUAGUUCCAUUGAAACGCGUGUUUUAAUGUUUCGUCGUGUCGGUGGCGGUACGUGUCGUUGCCGGUCCGUGUCGUAUAGUCCGAAUCAACCUUUGCUCGUACGUAGAAAUGAAAAUGGGGAUGAUGUAUGUAUUACAUGAUACAUUCGUUUGGGUGAUACGAGAUCAAAGAAUACUCGUUAUCCUAUAAGAACAAUACCGAAGGGAGCGAUUUGUCGAUAUCCAUUUUACACCUUCUGUAGAUUAAAAUUCUGUAUUGUGUAAGGAUAUUUAUUUAGAGGUUCGGCGAAAACUGUCAAAAUUCCGAGACAACACGCAAUAUAUCAGAGAAAAUC